rnacentral:rRNA from 1 species
CCUACGGGAGGCAGUAGUGAGGAAUAUUGGUCAAUGGCCGUAAGGCUGAACCAGCCAAGUCGCGUGAAGGAAGAAGGAUCUAUGGUUUGUAAACUUCUUUUAUAGGGGAAUAAAGGUAUCCACGUGUGGCUAUUUGCAUUUACCCUAUGAAUAAGCAUCGGCUAACUCCGUGCCAGCAGCCGCGGUAAUACGGAGGAUGCGAGCGUUAUCCGGAUUUCUUGGGUUUAAAGGGUGCGUAGGUUGUUUUUUAAGUCAGCGGUGAAAGUUUGUGGCUCAACCAUAAAAUUGCCGUUGAAACUGGAAGACUUGAGUGUGUUUGAGGUAGGCGGAAUGCGUGGUGUAGCGGUGAAAUGCAUAGAUAUCACGCAGAACUCCGAUUGCGAAGGCAGCUUACUAAGCCAUAACUGACGCUGAAGCACGAAAGCGUGGGGAUCAAACAGGAUUAGAUACCCCUGUAGUC